AUUGAACGCUGGCGGCAGGCCUAACACAUGCAAGUCGAACGAGUGGCGGACGGGUGAGUAAUGUCUGGGAAACUGCCUGAUGGAGGGGGAUAACUACUGGAAACGGUAGCUAAUACCGCAUACCAUCGGAUGUGCCCAGAUGGGAUUAGCUAGUAGGUGGGGUAAAGGCUCACCUAGGCGACGAUCCCUAGCUGGUCUGAGAGGAGGACCGGCAAAGCGGGAACUGAGCCACGGUCCAGACUCCUACGGGAGGCAGCAGGGGGGAAUAUUGCAAAAUGGGCGCAAGCCUGAUGCAGCCAUGCCGGGGAUAUGAAGAAGGCCUUCGGGUUGUAAAGUACGUUCAGCGGGGAGGCGUUACCCGCAGAAGAAGCACCGGCUACCUCCUUGCCAGCCGCCGCGGUAAUA
rnacentral:rRNA from 1 species